UCUCUGUAUUAAUGUUAAAUGUCUCUGUGAUGUUCAUCUCUGUAUUCAUGUUAAAUGUCUCUGUGAUGUUCAUCUCUGUAUUACUAGCUGACAGUGUAAUACAACUGAGGUCAUAUGUAAUGUUGUCUCCGGCUGGAGCAUCCUAAUACUUUUAAAUAUAAAAUACAUUCAAUAAAUCAAUCUAUAUCUGAUGUGAUCUAAUCCGUCUGUAUAAUAUUAUCCUAGUUGGUUUCCCACUGGUGACGAGGAGGAAGUGGAGGACCAACCCAUCCUUGUGUGGUCUGUGGAGUCUGGAUCUGACGUUAGGGUGAAGCUGUAGCAGUGCAGCUGUAUAAUGCAGGAAGCUGUGUGGGUGUGGCUGUGUGAUUUCACGCUGGGCUGGACUGUUCCUCUUGUCAGACAUAUUCCAAUAUUACACUUUUAUGUUUGAAACUUCCCCCAACAAUUACUGUUUAAACUGUAUUAAUGCGUUAACUCAAUGAAUGCACAAAUCUAAUAAUUGUCAACAAAGGGGCUAAAAUGAAAAAAAAAAUGUUUAGGUAAUAAAAACAUAGAAUGAAACAA